rnacentral:rRNA from 1 species
CAGUCGCCGCGGUAAUACGUAUGUCACAAGCGUUAUCCGGAUUUAUUGGGCGUAAAGCGCGUCUAGGUGGUUAUGUAAGUCAGAUGUGAAAAUGCAGGGCUCAACUCUAUAUUGCGUUGGAAACUGUGUAACUAGAGUACUGGAGAGGUAAGCGGAACUACAAGUGUAGAGGUGAAAUUCGUAGAUAUUUGUAGGAAUGUCGAUGGGGAAGCCAGCUUACUGGACAGAUACUGACGCUAAAGCGCGAAAGCGUGGGUAGCAAACAGGAUUAGAUACCCCGGUAGUCCCUGUCUCUUAUACA